CUCACUCCCGCCACAGCUUGGGAUCGGUCUCUGCUGUUUUACGUCCUCCACCUCGGGAGCCCCCGGUGACUGUCACAGCCUCUUGCCCUGUGAUCUGCAGGUUCUGGGAGACGCACAGCUAAGAUGCCAGGACAUCCUGGAAGCUGGGAAAAGGCAGUUUCACUCUCGUUGCCCAGGCUGGAGUGCAAUGGCGUGAUCUCAGCUCACUACAACCUCCACCUCCCAGGUUCAAGGGAUUCUCCUGCCUCAGCCUCCCAAGUUCUGACAACAAAGGAGAUUGUGACAUAUUGCUGGGCCUAACACUAAGGUGAUGUUAGUUAUUUGCUUUGGCUGUGCCCUUGGAAGGCAUUGAGACAUACUGCUGUGCCCAGCACCAAGAUGAUGUAACGUGACUCUUCUGCUUCAGGCCUGCCAAAAGAAAAGAUUGUGACAGAUCACUGGACCCAGCACCUAGGUAGGAUUGUGACAUAUAUCUGGCCAAGCGUACAGAUGUAAUGAUGACUGUCAUACCUUGAAGAAGCCAAUAGCAGAGAGAAUGUUGCUCUCAGG
rnacentral:lncRNA from 1 species